ensembl:lncRNA
CUGAGAUGUGAUCCCACGCGCGCGCGCGCACACACACACACAAAGAAACAAGUGUGAAAAAGCAGUAGAGCACAAGCUGGGACAUGACGGAGACUCUUUACACGGCGGCGAGCUGGGGGAGUGACGGUCACACGGCGGCGAGCUGGGGGAGUGACGGUCACACGGCGCGGCCGACACGCGACAGGAAGGAAGGUUCUGAAACUGUUCGGGGUGCACUGAGGAUCAAGUGGAGGUCGAGUAUGAUGUGUAAUUGUGUGCUUUCCCACUCAACGCAGGUGAGAACCCGUCCACUGGAGCGACACGAUCAGAAAUUAAGCUACUCGAAUGUAAUUUUCCUCGGCGAUGGGGUGGUACUGUAAGAACCUUUACAGUAAUCUGUGUAUUUGUUUUUUUUUACCCUGGGAAG